rnacentral:rRNA from 1 species
GUUAGGAAUAUUGGACAAUGGGCGAAAGCCUGAUCCAGCCAUGCCGCGUGAACGAUGAAGGCCUUCGGGUUGUAAAGUUCUUUAGCCGAUGAUUAUAAUGACUGUAGUCGGAAAAUAAGCCCCGGCUAACUUCGUGCCAGCAGCCGCGGUAAUACGAAGGGGGCGAGCGUUAUUCGGAAUCACUGGGCGUAAAGCGUGCGUAGGCGGUUUUGUAAGUUAGGAGUGAAAGCCCAGGGCUCAACCUUGGAAUUGCUCUUAAAACUGCAAGGCUCGAAUCUCGGAGAGGAUAGCGGAAUUUCCAGUGUAGCAGUGAAAUGCGUAGAUAUUGGAAGGAACACCAGUGGCGUAAGCGGCUAUCUGGACGAGUAUUGACGCUGAGGCACGAAAGCGUGGGGAGCAAACAGGAUUAGAAACCCGAGUAGUCC